AGCCUAACACAUGCAAGUCGAACGGUAACAGGAACGCAGCUUGCUGCUUUGCUGACGAGUGGCGGACGGGUGAGUAACUGUCUGGGAAACUGCCUGAUGGAGGGGGAUAACUACUGGAAACGGUAGCUAAUACCGCAUAACGUCGCAAGACCAAAGAGGGGGACCUUCGGGCCUCUUGCCAUCGGAUGUGCCCAGAUGGGAUUAGCUAGUAGUGGGGUAACGGCUCACCUAGGCGACGAUCCCUAGCUGGUCUGAGAGGAUGACCAGCCACACUGGAACUGAGACACGGUCCAGACUCCUACGGGAGGCAGCAGUGGGGAAUAUUGCACAAUGGGCGCAAGCCUGAUGCAGCCAUGCCGCGUGUAUGAAGAAGGCCUUCGGGUUGUAAAGUACUUUCAGCGGGGAGGAAGGUGUUGAGGUUAAUAACCUCAGCAAUUGACGUUACCCGCAGAAGAAGCACCGGCUAACUCCGU
rnacentral:rRNA from 1 species